AGUGAACGCUGGCGGUAGGCCUAACACAUGCAAGUCGAACGGCAGCACAGUAAGAGCUUGCUCUUACGGGUGGCGAGUGGCGGACGGGUGAGGAAUACAUCGGAAUCUACUUUUUCGUGGGGGAUAACGUAGGGAAACUUACGCUAAUACCGCAUACGACCUACGGGUGAAAGCAGGGGAUCUUCGGACCUUGCGCGAUUGAAUGAGCCGAUGUCGGAUUAGCUGGUUGGCGGGGUAAAGGCCCACCAAGGCGACGAUCCGUAGCUGGUCUGAGAGGAUGAUCAGCCACACUGGAACUGAGACACGGUCCAGACUCCUACGGGAGGCAGCAGUGGGGAAUAUUGGACAAUGGGCGCAAGCCUGAUCCAGCCAUACCGCGUGGGUGAAGAAGGCCUUCGGGUUGUAAAGCCCUUUUGUUGGGAAAGAAAAGCAGCAGGUUAAUACCCCGCUGUUCUGACGGUACCCAAAGAAUAAGCACCGGCCAACUUCGUG
rnacentral:rRNA from 1 species